rnacentral:rRNA from 1 species
GCAGUCGAACGGCAGCACGGGAGCAAUCCUGGUGGCGAGUGGCGAACGGGUGAGUAAUAUAUCGGAACGUGCCCAGUCGUGGGGGAUAACGCAGCGAAAGCUGUGCUAAUACCGCAUACGAUCUACGGAUGAAAGCGGGGGAUCGCAAGACCUCGCGCGAUUGGAGCGGCCGAUAUCAGAUUAGCUAGUUGGUGGGGUAAAGGCCCACCAAGGCGACGAUCUGUAGCUGGUCUGAGAGGACGACCAGCCACACUGGAACUGAGACACGGUCCAGACUCCUACGGGAGGCAGCAGUGGGGAAUUUUGGACAAUGGGCGCAAGCCUGAUCCAGCAAUGCCGCGUGCAGGAUGAAGGCCUUCGGGUUGUAAACUGCUUUUGUACGGAACGAAACGGCUUCUUCUAAUACAGGAGGCUAAUGACGGUACCGUAAGAAUAAGCACCGGCUAACUACGUGCCAGCAGCCGCGGUAAUACGUAGGGUGCGAGCGUUAAUCGGAAUUACUGGGCGUAAAGCGUGCGCAGGCGGUUAUGUAAGACAGAUGUGAAAUCCCCGGGCUCAACCUGGGACCUGCAUUUGUGACUGCAUAGCUGGAGUACGGCAGAGGGGGAUGGAAUUCCGCGUGUAGCAGUGAAAUGCGUAGAUAUGCGGAA